UUUUAUAGUUUGAUUCCGGCUCAGGACGAACGCGGGCGGCGUGCCUAAUACAUGCAAGUCGAGCGGACCAAAGAAGAGCUUGCUUUUCGGCGGUUAGCGGCGGACGGGUGAGUAACACGUAGGCAACCUGCCUGUACGACUGGGAUAAUUCCGGGAAACCGGAGCUAAUACCGGAUACGUUUUUCAGACCGCAUGGUCUGAAAGAGAAAGACCUUUGGUCACGUACAGAUGGGCCUGCGGCGCAUUAGCUAGUUGGUGGGGUAACGGCCUACCAAGGCGACGAUGCGUAGCCGACCUGAGAGGGUGAUCGGCCACACUGGGAUUGAGACACGGCCCAGACUCCUACGGGAGGCAGCAGUAGGGAAUCUUCCGCAAUGGACGAAAGUCUGACGGAGCAACGCCGCGUGAACGAUGAAGGUUUUCGGAUCGUAAAGUUCUGUUGUUAGGGAAGAACCGCCGGGAUGACCUCCCGGUCUGACGGUACCUAACGAGAAAGCCCCGGCUAACUACGUGCCAGCAGCCGCGGUAAUACGUAGGGGGCAAGCGUUGUCCGGAAUUAUUGGGCGUAAAGCGCGCGCAGGCGGCUUCUUAAGUCAGGUGUGAAAGCCCACGGCUCAACCGUGGAGGGCCACUUGAAACUGGGAGGCUUGAGUGCAGGAGAGGAGAGCGGAAUUCCACGUGUAGCGGUGAAAUGCGUAGAGAUGUGGAGGAACACCCGUGGCGAAGGCGGCUCUCUGGCCUGUAACUGACGCUGAGGCGCGAAAGCGUGGGGAGCGAACAGGAUUAGAUACCCUGGUAGUCCACGCCGUAAACGUUGAGUGCUAGGUGUUGGGGACUCCAAUCCUUCAGUGCCGCAGCUAACGCAAUAAGCACUCC
rnacentral:rRNA from 1 species